rnacentral:rRNA from 1 species
GAUCAUAGCUCAGAUUGAACGCUGGCGGCGUGCUUAACACAUGCAAGUCGUACGCGAAAGGGACUUCGGUCCCGAGUAAAGUGGCGCACGGGUGAGUAACACGUGGAUAAUCUGCCUCUAUGAUGGGGAUAACAGUUGGAAACGACUGCUAAUACCGAAUAUGCUCAUAAUGAACUUUAUGAGGAAAGGUGGCCUCUGCUUGCAAGCUAUCGCAUAGAGAUGAGUCCGCG